AGAGUUUGAUCCUGGCUCAGGAUGAACGCUAGCUACAGGCUUAACACAUGCAAGUCGAGGGGAAACGACAUCGAAAGCUUGCUUUUGAUGGGCGUCGACCGGCGCACGGGUGAGUAACGCGUAUCCAACCUGCCCACCACUUGGGGAUAACCUUGCGAAAGUAAGACUAAUACCCAAUGACGUCUCUAGAAGACAUCUGAAGGAGAUUAAAGAUUUAUCGGUGAUGGAUGGGGAUGCGUCUGAUUAGCUUGUUGGCGGGGUAACGCCACCAGGCGACGAUCAGUAGGGUUCUGAGAGGAAGUCCCCCACAUUGGAACUGAGACACGGUCCAAACUCCGUACGGGAGGCA
rnacentral:rRNA from 1 species